UAACCAGGUUUUCCGAAGGAAAAAACUGGUUAUUAGAUUGGCGAAUGCGGGCGGGCUGGCUGGCUGGCUGGCGGGCUGGCUGGCGGGCUGGCGGGCUGGCGGAAUAAGCUUGUCCGGGCCAUAACUAUGUCGUUCAUUGUCAGAUUUUAAAAUCAUUUGGCACAUUUGUUCACCAUCAUUGGACGGUGUGUCGCGCGAAAUAAUUACGUCGAUAUCUCCAAGGUCAAGGUCACACUUUGAGUUCAAAGGUCAAAAAUGGCCAUAAAUGAGCUUGUCCUGGCCAUAACUAUGUCAUUCAUUGUGAGAUUUUAAAAUCAUUUGGCACAUUUGUUCACCAUCAUGGGACGGUGUGUCCCACGAAAGAAUCACGUCAAUAUCUCCAAUGUCAAGGUCGCCACGACUAAAAAUAGAUUUAAAAAAAAAAAAAAAAUUACAAAGGGGGUUAAUUUUUUUUGGUCAUUUCAAAAGUUCA